GGUGGUUCUUGGGUGAUGCACCUCGGAAUCAGGCUCCCUCCUCUCUAGCCCAGGUGUGUCACCUGAGAACCCCA
rfam:Myotis davidii contig148008, whole genome shotgun sequence.